rnacentral:rRNA from 1 species
UACGUAGGGCGCAAGCGUUAUCCGGAAUUAUUGGGCGUAAAGAGCUCGUAGGUGGUCUGUUACGUCUGCUGUGAAAUCCUAGGGCUUAACCCUGGGCCUGCAGUGGAUACGGGCAGACUAGAGGUAGGUAGGGGAGAAUGGAAUUCCCGGCGUAGCGGUGAAAUGCGCAGAUAUCGGGAGGAACACCGGUGGCGAAGGCGGUUCUCUGGGCCUUACCUGACACUGAGGAGCGAAAGCGUGGGGAGCGAACAGG